GUGAGGAAUAUUGCGCAAUGGAGGCAACUCUGACGCAGCCAUGCCGCGUGCAGGAAGAAGGCGCUACGCGUUGUAAACUGCUUUUAACCGGGAAGAAACCCCAGGACGUGUCCUGGGUUGACGGUACCGGAGGAAUAAGCACCGGCUAACUUCGUGCCAGCAGCCGCGGUAAAACGAAGGGUGCAAGCGUUAUCCGGAUUCAUUGGGUUUAAAGGGUGCGUAGGCGGAGCGUUAAGUCAGUGGUGAAUUCCUGCAGCUUAACUGUAGACUUGCCAUUGAUACUGGCGAUCUUGAGUGCGGUUGAAGUGGGCGGAAUGUGCCGUGUAGCGGUGAAAUGCUUAGAUAUGGCACAGAACACCAAUUGCGAAGGCAGCUCACUAAGGCGAUACUGACGCUGAGGCACGAAAGCGUGGGGAUCGAACAGGAUUAGAUACCCUAGUAGUCC
rnacentral:rRNA from 1 species